UAGGGAAUUUUCCACAAUGGGCGAAAGCCUGAUGGAGCAACGCCGCGUGCAGGAUGACGGCCUUCGGGUUGUAAACUGCUUUUAUGAGUGAUGAUUAUGACAGUAGCUCAAGAAUAAGGGUCGGCUAACUACGUGCCAGCAGCCGCGGUCAUACGUAGGACCCAAGCGUUAUCCGGAAUUACUGGGCGUAAAGAGUUGCGUAGGCGGCUUGUUAAGCAAGAUGUGAAAUCGUGAGGCUCAACCUCAUACACAUAUUUUGAACUGGCAAGCUAGAGUAUGGUAGAGGUCACUGGAAUUCCAAGUGUAGGAGUGAAAUCCGUAGAUAUUUGGAGGAACACCGAUGGCGUAGGCAGGUGACUGGACCAUUACUGACGCUAAGGCACGAAAGCGUGGGGAGCAA
rnacentral:rRNA from 1 species